ACGGAUUAGUUUUACAAAGUUGUAAUAAUCCCAGAAUAUAAUUCAAUUUUUGAAUAAUAAGUGAAAUGGUACAUUUAUAAUAUAAACAUGGGAGAAUAUACUAAUAAUAAAGGUCAAUUUUAGUCUGAAGAUGAUUUAUGAACAUAAACCUGAUUACUAUCGUCCUAACCUCUUGUAAAAAUUACAGGUAUAAUGAAAGCAUAAUUUUAUGAGCUGUUGUUUAUGAUAGAGAAUAAUUUUGCCUUGGUGAUUGUGGUUUGCUGAUAUCUGAUCAAUUUAAAACUACAGUCUUUAUUUCCAGUAUCAAUAGGUAAAAAGUAGUAUCUGAUACAAAACAUUUGGACACCUGUACUUGUCUGAGUAGUCCUAGCCAUCAGUGCUAACUCAACUCAUCUACAGCAGUGGGCGGGCAUGUACCUUCUAUAUCUGAUACUGGUUCUGGAUCUAUUCAGCUAAAGUCAAGAGAAUAAAACCAUCAGGACACACAAUGCUGCUGAAAUAUGCAGAAGGACAGAAAGAUUAAGAAUACGAAGGUUGCAGCUCUCACAUUUACCUUUAGAAACAGCGCAUUUAAGCUUCUAGAGAGUGGAGGUAUCUUCGCGUGGACUUCAAGAGUGAGUCGGAACCAAAGAAGGUGAGUUCAUCUGAUAACAGAGA